GCCAUAGCUCAGUGGUCAGAGCAUCUGCUUUGCAUGCAGAAGGUCCCAGGUGUGAUCACCAGGUAUCUCCA